CUGAAUCCACACCCUGUGAAGCUGGCUCAUUCUGGAGGUGUGAUUGGUGCACACUCUGUGGAGCAGCUGGCAUGUAUACACAACUCCAGAACUACUCGGGAGAGAAAUUAGGAAUUGAAAAAGGAAAAAAUUGUCUUAUUUGUGGAAGGAGUUGACGUCAUUGUUAUAGAAUCUGAAGUAAAGGCAGACAAGAUAAGAGAGUGUAGAGCUGGGCCAUGGGGUGCUGUUUCAGCAGCGCGGAGGGGGAGGGCGACGACAAGCACGGCGGCGAUGGCGACGGCUGCAAAAGCUGCUGUCUGAAGACCAGGAACUGUCUGAUGAGUGGAGAAUGUGGACGGGCGCUUCAGAUUGCCAAUGUCUGUGCCAUGUGUGGCAUGUGCAUCCGCAUGUUUGCCUAGUUAUAACCAGACUGUGACUCAACACAUUUUCGAACAUGUUUGGAUACUUCACACACCCACAAAGUGCCUUGAACAAAAUAAUGUGCGGUACAGCCCUGCUCUUCUGGGAUCCACCCCGCACCACACCGAAAACCCGCCCUGUCUUACAGCCUUGGAAUCUGGUCAUGUGCUGGAGUGAAGCAGGAAGUCACAAAUACAGCACACACUCCUUACUUCCUGAAGGACAGACACAAAUGCCUCAACACGAACAGCAGCCUUUUUUUAAGACUUGGAGAACUAGCAGGAGCCUGAAAAUAAAUUCAUACUGGCAAACCAACUGCUGCACUACAGGGAGUGCUUGCCCAAUACUUAAGAACAAUGUCCAUGAGCAAGAUUUUUUUUUUUUUUGUCUCAUAGCAUUGUGGGUUUUGAGUAAAUAUCUGAACCUUUUUACCUGACAAUCAAUAAUUGUUCUAUGAGCUACAGAAGGUUAUACCUUUCAUUGUACGGCGCUCGUCAUCCAGCUAGUUAUUGUUUGUAUUGACUCAGCCAAGGCUGCUUGUUUACUCAUUUAUAACAGUCGUGGUUAUUAUCGGAGGAUGGCUCGGGGCUCACCCAAGCCCCAGUAUCAGCAGAGCCUUGGGCUAGAUCAGGAAAGAUUGACAGCGAGUAAAAGUGCAGUGUAGCACAUCAUCACGCACGCCCCAUUUACAGUAGUCGCUUCUGCUCUGAGCUUCAGCUAGAGACCGUGCCACAGUGUGUGUCUGUAGAUGUCCUUCUCACUGCGUUCUCACCUUGACUAUGUAGACAUGCCUUGCUGACCUGUUGGCUGUUAAAGCUGAAGUGGUAUAAGGGGAGCUGUUUAUCGUACAUUCAAUUACACACCGGCUGUAAGCUUGCUUUGGAGAAAAGUAAUACUUCACUUUUAUAUUUAAUUGAUGGAUGCAUAUAUCUUUCCUUUUUUUUAUGAUGCAGUUCCCCAGUUGAUUGCUGGUGCUACUGAUAGGACAUUUUCUCCUCUCUGUGAUUGCAUUGUGUAGGCUAAUGUAGCUGGGAAUAAAUGGAAUGAUUUAGGAUUGGAGGGGAUUUGGGGAUUCCUGUGCAGCUUUAUUGUCGCUUUCUCUAAGUAUGUAUUGUCAUCAAUAUCUGCUGCUACCUUAUUGCCAAUAAUAAAACGUCAACGUGCUAUACCCUA